rnacentral:rRNA from 1 species
GACGAACGCUGGCGGCGUGCUUAACACAUGCAAGUCGAACGAUGAACCCGGAGCUUGCUCCGGCGGAUUAGUGGCGAACGGGUGAGUAACACGUGAGUAACCUGCCCUUGACUCUGGGAUAACUGCUAGAAAUGGUAGCUACUACCGGAUCCGUCCCGCGGUGUCAUCACCAGGGUGUGGAAAUAAUUUCGGUAAAGGAUGGACUCGCGGCCUAUCAGCUAGUUGGUGAGGUAACGGCUCACCAAGGCGGCGACGGGGAGCCGGCCUGAGAGGGGGACCGGCAACACUGGGACUGAGACACGGCCCAGACUCCUACGGGAGGCAGCAGUGGGGAAUAUUGCACAAUGGGCGCAAGCCUGAUGCAGCAACGCCGCGUGAGGGAUGACGGCCUUCGGGUUGUAAACCUCUUUUAGUAGGGAAGAAGCGAAAGUGACGGUACCUGCAGAAAAAGCACCGGCUAACUACGUGCCAGCCGCUGCGGUAA